GAUGAACGCUGGCGGCGUGCCUAAUACAUGCGAGUCGAGCGAACAGACGAGGAGCUUGCUCCUCUGACGUUAGCGGCGGACGGGUGAGUAACACGUGGAUAACCUACCUAUAAGACUGGGAUAACUUCGGGAAACCGGAGCUAAUACCGGAUAAUAUAUUGAACAGCAUGGUUCAAUAGUGAAAGACGGUUUUGCUGUCACUUAUAGAUGGAUCCGCGCCGCAUUAGCUAGUUGGUAAGAUAACGGCUUACCAAGGCAACGAUGCGUAGCCGACCUGAGAGGGUGAUCGGCCACACUGGAACUGAGACACGGUCCAGACUCCUACGGGAGGCAGCAGUAGGGAAUCUUACGCAAUGGGGGAAAGCCUGACGGAGCAACGCCGCGUGAGUGAUGAAGGUCUUCGGAUCGUAAAACUCUGUUAUUAGGGAAGAACAAAUGUGUAAGUAACUAUGCACGUCUUGACGGUACCUAAUCAGAAAGCCACGGCUAACUACGUG
rnacentral:rRNA from 1 species